AUUGAAUGCUGGCGGCAUGCCUUACACAUGCAAGUCGAACGGCAGCACGGGUGCUUGCACCUGGUGGCGAGUGGCGAACGGGUGAGUAAUACAUCGGAACAUGUCCUGUAGUGGGGGAUAGCCCGGCGAAAGCCGGAUUAAUACCGCAUACGAUCCACGGAUGAAAGCGGGGGACCUUCGGGCCUCGCGCUAUAGGGUUGGCCGAUGGCUGAUUAGCUAGUUGGUGGGGUAAAGGCCUACCAAGGCGACGAUCAGUAGCUGGUCUGAGAGGACGACCAGCCACACUGGGACUGAGACACGGCCCAGACUCCUACGGGAGGCUGCAGUGGGGAAUUUUGGACAAUGGGCGAAAGCCUGAUCCAGCAAUGCCGCGUGUGUGAAGAAGGCCUUCGGGUUGUAAAGCACUUUUGUCCGGAAAGAAAUCCUUGACUCUAAUACAGUCGGGGGAUGACGGUACCGGAAGAAUAAGCACCGGCUAACUACGUG
rnacentral:rRNA from 1 species